UACGUAGGGUGCGAGCGUUGUCCGGAAUUAUUGGGCGUAAAGCGUGCGCAGGCGGUUUUGUAAGUCUGUCGUGAAAUCCCCGGGCUCAACCUGGGAAUUGCGAUGGAGACUGCAAGGCUAGAAUCUGGCAGAGGGGGGGUAGAAUUCCACGUGUAGCAGUGAAAUGCGUAGAGAUGUGGAGGAACACCGAUGGCGAAGGCAGCCCCCCUGGGUCAAGAUUGACGCUCAUGCACGAAAGGCGUGGGGAGCAAACGAGGAUUAGAGUAC
rnacentral:rRNA from 1 species